rnacentral:rRNA from 1 species
CCUACGGGUGACAGCAGUGAGGAAUAUUGGUCAAUGGCCGAGAGGCUGAACCAGCCAAGUCGCGUGAGGGAAGACGGCCCUACGGGUUGUAAACCUCUUUUGUCGGGGAGCAAAGCGAGUCACGUGUGACUCAUUGAGAGUACCCGAAGAAAAAGCAUCGGCUAACUCCGUGCCAGCAGCCGCGGUAAUACGGAGGAUGCGAGCGUUAUCCGGAUUUAUUGGGUUGAAAGGGUGCGCAGGCGGAGGUGCAAGUCAGCGGUCAAAUUGCGGGGCUCAACCCCGUACUGCCGUUGAAACUGCAGCCCUUGAGUGCGCGAGAAGUAUGCGGAAUGCGUGGUGUAGCGGUGAAAUGCAUAGAUAGCACGCAGAACUCCGAUUGCGAAGGCAGCAUACCGGCGCGCAACUGACGCUCAUGCACGAAAGCGUGGGUAUCGAACAGGAUUAGAUACCCGGGUAGUC